GCGAACGCUGGCGGCAGGCCUAACACAUGCAAGUCGAACGAACUCUUCGGAGUUAGUGGCGGACGGGUGAGUAACACGUGGGAACGUGCCUUUUGGUUCGGAAUAACUCAGGGAAACUUGUGCUAAUACCGAAUGUGCCCUUCGGGGGAAAGAUUUAUCGCCAUUAGAGCGGCCCGCGUCUGAUUAGCUAGUUGGUGAGGUAACGGCUCACCAAGGCGACGAUCAGUAGCUGGUCUGAGAGGAUGACCAGCCACACUGGGACUGAGACACGGCCCAGACUCCUACGGGAGGCAGCGGUGGGGAAUCUUGCGCAAUGGGCGAAAGCCUGACGCAGCCAUGCCGCGUGAAUGAUGAAGGUCUUAGGAUUGUAAAAUUCUUUCACCGGGGACGAUAAUGACGGUACCCGGAGAAGAAGCCCCGGCUAACUUCGUG
rnacentral:rRNA from 1 species